GGAGAGGUGGCCGAGUGGCUGAAGGCGCACGCUUGGAAAGCGUGUAAAGAGGAAACUCUUUCGUGGGUUCGAAUCCCACUCUCUCCGCCA
rnacentral:tRNA from 1 species